rnacentral:rRNA from 1 species
AGGGCAUGCCUUAGUACGGCGAGUGAGCGGCAAAAGCUCAAAUUUGAAAUCUGGUACCUUCGGUGCCCGAGUUGUAAUUUGGAGAGGGCAACUUUGGGGCCGUUCCUUGUCUAUGUUCCUUGGAACAGGACGUCAUAGAGGGUGAGAAUCCCGUGUGGCGAGGAGUGCGGUUCUUUGUAAAGUGCCUUCGAAGAGUCGAGUUGUUUGGGAAUGCAGCUCUAAGUGGGUGGUAAAUUCCAUCUAAAGCUAAAUAUUGGCGAGAGACCGAUAGCGAACAAGUACAGUGAUGGAAAGAUGAAAAGAACUUUGAAAAGAGAGUGAAAAAGUACGUGAAAUUGUUGAAAGGGAAGGGCAUUUGAUCAGACAUGGUGUUUUGUGCCCUCUGCUCCUUGUGGGUAGGGGAAUCUCGCAUUUCACUGGGCCAGCAUCAGUUUUGGUGGCAGGAUAAAUCCAUAGGAAUGUAGCUUGCCUCGGUAAGUAUUAUAGCCUGUGGGAAUACUGCCAGCUGGGACUGAGGACUGCGACGUAAGUCAAGGAUGCUGGCAUAAUGGUUAUAUGCCGCCCGUCUUGAACCCACGGAGAACACAAAA